rnacentral:lncRNA from 1 species
GUGGAGGUGGCGGCAAAGGGGGAGGAGGAGGCGGUGGCGGUGGAGGUGGAGGCGGCAGGAGCGUCGGAGGGGGAGGAGGAGGAGCAAAGGGAGGCGGAGGCGGAGGCGGAGCGAAGGGGUCAGGCGGCAGCGGGGGCGCCGGGAAGUCGUCCGGCACUGGCGGUGGCAGCGGCGGCAUGAUGAAGGCGCCCGGCGGCGACGGCGCCUACAUCUCCCGUCCCGGGUUCGAGUCCAACCCGCAGGGCUACUUCCAGGGCCUCCACGGCGCCGGAGGAAAGUAGCCGGAGACUGGGAGCGCUCUUCCCGUCUUCCGUCAGUCAGUCAAUCAGUCAGUGGAGCUUCUCGUCACUCGUCCGCAGCUUAAUUCGGCCAUGCAUGCAUGUUUACGCAUUGGCUUCUAAAUAAUGUAACCCCGUCAGAGCAGCCUGCAUGCUAGUCCAAGUCGGUCUCGUUCGCAGCGUUCGCUUGAUUGUAAUGGAAGUACUGAUGAACCAUGCCAGCAAUGAUCGUGGAAAUUAAGUCAUCGAUUGUUCAUGUUUGACUGAUCGUGUGGUGGCCUUUUCCUACUCAUCGCCUUCGUGUUUGGUUGAUCGUGUGAUGGCCUUUUCGUACUCAUUGCCAUAUGCCCAUAUCGUGAGUUAAUCGAAGUGCAUGCGACCGAUAUUUUCUUAGGUGCAGAAGUGCAUGCGAUUUAUCGCCGCUAAGCAAUUUUGGAUGCAUGCCAUUUCCAGACAACGAAGUUAAUCCGAAUUACUCUGUAUAUUAGUAAAUUAUACGCUUGCUUAAGCAUUGCAUACG